rnacentral:sRNA from 1 species
UGAAUCGCUGAAUUCCUAUUUAAGGAACCGGGGGAACCAAACGAUGAUCCAUGUUCGAUGUGAGAGUCGAAUUCGGAUGGUCAGGGGUGAAUCCGUAAGACUUGAAUACCAUGGGUUCUUGUCUUGAGGUAGGGCGACUCUCACCGCCCGAAUCCGUCAGCUAACCUCGGAAGUGUUGAAGU